rnacentral:rRNA from 1 species
UACGGAGGGUGCGAGCGUUGUCCGGAAUCACUGGGCGUAAAGGGCGCGUAGGCGGCGCGAGCAGUCGAUCGUGAAAGUCCGGAGCUCAACUCCGGAUCGGCGGUCGAUACUCUCGUGCUUGAGCACUGUAGAGGCAGAUGGAAUUCCGGGAGUAGCGGUGGAAUGCGUAGAGAUCCGGAAGAACACCGGUGGCGAAGGCGGUCUGCUGGGCAGUUGCUGACGCUGAGGCGCGACAGCGUGGGGAGCAAACAGG